UACGUAGGCAGCGAGCGUUGUUCGGAGUUACUGGGCGUAAAGGGUGUGUAGGCGGUCCCGUAAGUUUGGUGGGAAAUCUCCCGGCUCAACUGGGAGGGUGCGCCGGAUACUGAGGGGCUAGAGUGCGGGAAGGGAAAGUGGAAUUCCUGGUGUAGCGGUGAAAUGCGUAGAUAUCUGGAGGAACACCGGUGGCGAAGGCGGCAUCCUGGACCAACACUGACGCUGAGGAGCGAAAGCCAGGGGAGCAAACGGG
rnacentral:rRNA from 1 species